UUCUUAGUGGCGGACGGGUUAGUAACACGUGAGAAUCCUACCCUUGAGUGGGGAAUAGCCUUUCGAAAGGAAGAUUAAUGCCCCAUAGUCUCUACGGAGUAAAGAUGCCUUCGGGUGUCGCUUAAGGAUGGGCUCGCGGCCUAUCAGCUAGUUGGUGAGGUAAGAGCUCACCAAGGCAACGACGGGUAGCUGGUCUGAGAGGACGAUCAGCAACACUGGAACUGAGACACGGUCCAGACACCUACGGGUGGCAGCAGUCGAGAAUCAUUCACAAUGGACGAAAGUCUGAUGGUGCAACGCCGCGUGGAGGAUGACGGCCCUAGGGUUGUAAACUCCUGUCAUCAGGGAGUAAGACUUAUUCGUUAAUAGCGUGUAAGUUUGAUAGUACCUGAAGAGGAAGGGACGGCUAACUUCGUGCCAGCAGCCGCGGUAAUACGAAGGUCCCAAGCGUUGUUCGGAAUAACUGGGCGUAAAGCGUGUGUAGGCCGCGCGGA
rnacentral:rRNA from 1 species